GUGAGGAAUCUUGCGCAAUGGGGGAAACCCUGACGCAGCAACGCCGCGUGAGUGAUGAAGGCCUUCGGGUCGUAAAGCUCUGUCAGAUGGGAAGAAGGGGACAGCGGUGAAUAAUCGCUGAUCCUUGACGGUACCAUCAGAGGAAGCACCGGCUAACUCCGUGCCAGCAGCCGCGGUAAUACGGAGGGUGCAAGCGUUGUUCGGAAUUAUUGGGCGUAAAGAGCGUGUAGGCGGCCUUGUAAGUCAGAUGUGAAAGCCCUUGGCUCAACCAAGGAAGUGCAUUUGAAACUGCAAGGCUUGAGUACGAGAGGGGGAAGCGGAAUUCCCGGUGUAGAGGUGAAAUUCGUAGAUAUCGGGAGGAACACCGGUGGCGAAGGCGGCUUCCUGGAUCGAUACUGACGCUGAGACGCGAAAGCGUGGGGAGCAAACAGGAUUAGAAACCCGGGUAGUCC
rnacentral:rRNA from 1 species